AUUCGUGCCAGCAGUUGCGGUUAUACAAAUAAUAUAAUUUAAUUGUUUUAGUAAUAAUUAAUAAUAAUAAUAAAAUUUUAUAUUAAAAUUUAUGAGGUGAAAUUUAAAAUUUUAAUAAAAAUUUAGUUUUUAUAAUGAAGUUAAAGAAUUUAAAAGAUAAACUAGGAUUAGAUACCCUAUUAUUUUAAUCACACAAUAUUUAUACUGGAUUAAUAAAAGUUAAGUUCUUAAAAAUUAAAGAUUUUGGCGGUAUUUUAGUCUAUUCAGAGGAACCUGUUCUAUAAUUGAUAAUCCACGAUUUUAUAAACUUUUUUUAAAUAAUUUGUAUAUCAUCGUAAUUUGAAUAUUUUAUUAGAAUAAUAAUAUUCAGGAUUUUUUAUAAAAAAUUAAAUCAGAUCAAGGUGCAGUUUAUAGAAAAGUAGAAAUGGGUUACAAUAAUGAUAAUUAAGGAUUAUUUUUUUUAAAAAAAUAUGAAUUUGGAUUUGAAAGUAAUUUUAAUUAAUUAAUUAAUUUGAUUUAAGCUCUAAGAUAUGCACACAUCGCCC
rnacentral:rRNA from 1 species